AACGAACGCUGGCGGCAGGCUUAACACAUGCAAGUCGAGCGCUGUAGCAAUACAGAGCGGCGCACGGGUGAGUAACACGUGGGAACAUGCCUUUCGGUUCGGAAUAACUCAGGGAAACUUGUGCUAAUACCGGAUACGCCCUUACGGGAAGGAUUAUUGCGAAGAGUGGCCCGCGUUGGAUUAGCUAGUUGGCGGGGUAAAGGACCCACCAAGGCGACGAUCCAUAGCUGGUCUGAGAGGACGACCAGCCACACUGGGACUGAGACACGGCCCAGACUCCUACGGGAGGCAGCAGUGGGGAAGUCUUGGACAAUGGGGGAAACCCGUGAUCCAGCCAUGCCGCGUGAGUGAUGAAGGCCCUAGGGUUGUAAAACUCUUUCGCGCACGACGAUAAUGACGGUAGUGCGAGAAGAAGCUCCGGCUAACUUCGUGCCAGCAGCCGCAGUAAC
rnacentral:rRNA from 1 species